rnacentral:rRNA from 1 species
GAUGAACGCUAGCGGCAGGCUUAACACAUGCAAGUCGAGGGGCAGCGCGGGAUAGCAAUAUCCUGGCGGCGACCGGCGGAAGGGUGCGUAACGCGUGAGCGACAUGCCCGUUGCCCGGGGACAACCGGUGGAAACGCCGACUAAUCCCCGAUGGGAUACGAUGCUUCAUGGCAUUGUAUUGAAAGUUACGGCGGCGACGGAUUGGCUCGCGUCCGAUUAGCUUGUUGGCGGGGUAACGGCCCACCAAGGCUGCGAUCGGUAGGGGUUCUGAGAGGAAGGCCCCCCACAAUGGGACUGAGACACGGCCCAUACUCCUACGGGAGGCAGCAGUGAGGAAUAUUGGUCAAUGGGCGGAAGCCUGAACCAGCCAUGCCGCGUGCGGGAAGGAGGCCCUAUGGGCUGUGAACCGCUUUUGCCUGGGGGCAAUAAGGGCGUCGCGCACGUCCGAUGAGAGUACCAGGCGAAUAAGCAUCGGCUAACUCCGUGCCAGCAGCCGCGGUAAUACGGGGGAUGCGAGCGUUAUCCGGAUUCAUUGGGUUUAAAGGGUGCGUAGGCUGUGCGUCAAGUCGGGGGUGAAAUUCCAGUGCUCAACACCGGGGCUGCCCUUGAUACUGUCGCGCUGGAGUGCGGAUGCCGCCGGAGGAA